GCCUCCUUAGCUCAGCUGGUAGAGCGGUUCACUCGUAAUGAACAGGUCGCCGGUUCGAAUCCGGUGGGAGGCU
rnacentral:tRNA from 1 species